rnacentral:rRNA from 1 species
GUCCACGCCCUAAACGAUGUCUACUAGUUGUCGGGUCUUAAUUGACUUGGUAACGCAGCUAACGCGUGAAGUAGACCGCCUGGGGAGUACGGUCGCAAGAUUAAAAACUCAAAAGGAAUUGACGGGGACCCGCACAAGCGGUGGAUGAUGUGGAUUAAUUCGAUGCAACGCGAAAAAACCUUACCUACCCUUGACAUGUGCAGAAUUUUGCUGAGAGGUGAAAAGUGCUCGAAAGAGAACUGCAACACAGGUGCUGCAUGGCUGUCGU